GAGCCAGUGGCGCAAUGGAUAACGUGUCUGACUACGGAUCAGAAGAUUCUAGGUUAGAGUCCUGGCUGGCUCG
rnacentral:tRNA from 1 species